GACGAACGCUGGCGGCGUGCUUAACACAUGCAAGUCGUACGGUAAGGCCCUUUCGGGGGUACACGAGUGGCGAACGGGUGAGUAACACGUGAGUAACCUGCCCACAACUUUGGGAUAACGCUAGGAAACUGGUGCUAAUACUGGAUAUGUGCUCCUGCUGCAUGGUGGGGGUUGGAAAGCUCCGGCGGUUGUGGAUGGACUCGCGGCCUAUCAGCUUGUUGGUGGGGUAGUGGCCUACUAAGGCGGCGACGGGUAGCCGGCCUGAGAGGGUGACCGGCCACAUUGGGACUGAGAUACGGCCCAGACUCCUACGGGAGGCAGCAGUGGGGAAUAUUGCACAAUGGGCGCAAGCCUGAUGCAGCAACGCCGCGGGCGGGAUGACGGCCUUCGGGUUGUAAACCGCUUUCAGCAGGGACGAAGCUUUUUGUGACGGUACCUGCAGAAGAAGCACCGGCUAACUACGUG
rnacentral:rRNA from 1 species